rnacentral:misc_RNA from 1 species
UAGGUUGAAGAAUUCUUCAGCUGAUACACUUUUGCAUUACCUAUAGAUGAGAAGGUACCAUCUUAUCCUCGGGCCAAUAAUUAUACGUUGGAAAUCUGAACGGUUGUAGAAUUAGAAAUUUUCAUUGAGUAAUCUGCUUAUAGUGCUCAUAAAAUCAAACUCCCUCAGUCCCAAAAUGGUAGUCACCUUCCAUUGUUCGCCUUAUUUAAGAAAUAUAGUUAAUGCUAUGACACCUCACAUUUUUCAUUCCAAUUUUCCUCUUUGCCCCUCAUUAUUUUCUAGAAAAAAAAAUGACAUCUUUCUCUUUAUUUAGAGUUAUUUGCUUGAAAAUAUACGAAAUUACAAUUAAUUUCACAUUUUACAAUGAAGUUGAUGAGAGUAGAAUAGGAAAAUCACUAAAAAAAUUUUGACUUGUGGCAUUCUGUGAGUAUCAUUUUUUUUAUUCCAUAAUUUUCUACGGUCCAUUAAGUUCAAAACUCUUACUAUACAUACAAUAAUAUAUGUCCAACCUUUAAUGCAAAAGGUGCUUUUCGAAUUUUGUUCGCUAUUCCUCUUUUAAGUACAAAUCAUCAUUAUAUGAUAACAGUGAAAUCACUUAAAUGUACAUUAUUUGAAAGCUUGUUUGUAAUGAAAGUUUACUCAGGACUGUCAGAACAUUUAUUAGAUUAUGAUAUCUUCAGUAAAAUCAAGUUAUCUUAUUUUCCCGUGUCAGCAUCACUGUACUUGUGAUCUGGUCUUUCGGUUUUUCAUCUGUCGCUCAUAUAAAUUAUAACAUUUGCAAAUUUCAGAUUUAGAAAAUUUUUAAAUUAGAUAUUAUUAAAAUUCUGUUCUCUCUGCUUGAAGGGAUCCUUAUUCUUUGUUGUCUCAGUUACUAGUUACUGGCAUUGGGCAUUGUUCCAUUCUUACAAGCUCUUGCCAAUUGAUGCUGAAAUUUUUAUACACUCUUGGAAGCUGGAAUUCAAACAGUUAGGCCAUUCCGUUAUGCGUCAUGCAUAAUGAGACAGAGUUAGAAGCCUCAGAAUGGCUGGUGGUUGUCAUCUCUGUUGGAAUUCUAACUUAUCAUCUCAGGUUCCUCCUUUUGGCUGCUUGCACCAUAUCUGCUUUCAUCAGCCGAAAGCUUCCCUUCUGUACAGCGCGUUGUAACUCUGGCAUAGCUAAUCUUUUCCAGUAGCUUCUCAUAAGCACAUCCUUGAGCUCUAACAAUUACAGCACCAAAAGUAGAUUCUCAACUUCAUGUAUGCGCACUAACAUGGCUACAGUUGAUAAGAUGCUAAUAAAGGAGUGUGAUUGCAAGUAGAAUAUGACUGGGCCCGCACAGAGAACUAAAUAGUCUCGACUCGAGCAAUGACGAGAGCCUAAAAUCUUUUGGUGCAAGAUAAAGGUGAUGAAAAAGGAUUACUGAUGUAUGGCAAGGCCUGUAUUAUAAUUUGAAGCAUGUUUACUGAAUAGUUUUUCAC